rnacentral:rRNA from 1 species
UAGGGAAUCUUUCACAAUGGGCGGAAAGCCUGAUGGAGCAACGCCGCGUGUGUGAUGAAGGCUUUCGGGUCGUAAAGCACUGUUGUAUGGGAAGAACAGCUAGAAUAGGAAAUGAUUUUAGUUUGACGGUACCAUACCAGAAAGGGACGGCUAAAUACGUGCCAA